ensembl:lncRNA
GGAAUAAUCCUAAGGACAAAGGAGCCUGCUCUUGAACUCAUAGCCAGGAAAUUCCACUAGCAUUGGAUUGAAGUUUGACUCUCUUGCCUAACUCAAGUAUCCUAGAGGGUUCAGGGAUCAUCUGAGCAACUCAAGCUAAAAACUUGGAAGACUGAACAUAGAUUGGGAUGUUGGGUGUUAGAGUAAUUGUACACCCAAACUCAUCACACUUGGCAAUUAGGAUCCCAUCUAAGAGUAAAUAUCGUGGUAAAGAACCCACUUGCCAAUGCAGGAGACAUGAGAGACGUGGGUUUGGUCCCUGGGUUGGGAAGGUCUACUGGAGGAGGGCAUGGCAACCCACUUCAGUAUUCUUUUCUGGAGAAUCCCCAUGGACAGAGGAGCCUGGAAAACUACAGUUCAUAUGGUUGCAAAGAGUCAGACACAACUGAAAUGACCUGGCAUGCAUGCAUGCAAUGUUCUUUGUAUGGCUUCCCUCUAAAUUUGAUCCAAUAAUAAUCCAAU